rnacentral:lncRNA from 1 species
UUAUCUUAAAAAAACAUACACCGAACAAAUUUAAGAGCAUCGCUCGACUUUAGUAUAAUUGGAUAAUCUCAUGUAGAUUUUCUAUACCGUGUCCGUUUAUAAAAAGGUAACCUUGCUCAUGAAAUCCCAAUAUGUGAUUUUUUUUUUUUUGAAUAGUGUUUUCAAGAAGCUUGAUCUUCUCUAUGGGUAAUUAUUGUCAAUUGAAUUUGCAUCAUAUUAUUUUCACUUUGCAUUGGUUUUGUACUUUGCAUGCUUUGAUUUGUUUGAAUCGGUUGCUGACUUCGAAUUGAUACAUUGCAUGCUUCGAUAUCCAGAUUCCGGGCCGAAGUAAGCAAUUACGAUUUUGAUUUUUUAUCCAGCGUUUUCAACUAAUAUCUGUCUCGAGUUUGAUUUUCUUCAGUUUAUGCAAGAUUCAUAAUCUGUAAAUUAUAUUGAUGGCUCAUCGAUUCAUAUAUUGAUAUGGUUAUGAAUGUCAACUAACGAAGUUAUCAUCACAUACUUAAGUUUACCAGUUAAUCUUACUAUUUGCAAGUGUUUCAAGGUUUAUCAGAGAAAUAUUUCUCGACACAUUCCACAAAUUUGUGUUGCUGUUUCGAAUUUGGUUUCGAGAGAAUGACGAUAUGCUCCUCCUCUAUUUGAUAUUGAUGAUGACAUUCAUAGUUUUGAAAAUCUCUUUCCAAUUGCAUUCUCUAGCUAUCCAUUAAAAUUGAUUUUGCAAUGGGACUUUACGAUUAAAAUUGAUAAUAAACUUGUCUAACUUCUAAGUCUUAGUGCUACGAUUAUGAAUAGAAAAACAUCUCUUGAUCAAUGCACUCUCUUAUGGUUGAAGAAAAAGUAAAUAAUGAGUAGAAAUGAAUAUUGCUUAGUUUUUUUCAAAGUUGAAGACGUAUACUAAAGAUUUGAUUGUUCAUUUUUGUAAAAUCACAUAAGCACUGUUUCAAGUUUUUUUUUUGAAUAUACAGAAACCAUCACAAUGUUAAGAGAGACAUCUACGGAAGAAUGUUGGUAUGAGCAACUGAUUUUGAGAACUGAGAAGUAUCUUCAACAAAGGUAAAUUGUCUUAUUGAAUCAUCUUGAAUGUUUGUUUAGAGGAAUGACAAUAGAGACAUACAUCAUCAUACGUGACAAAUAUAUAAACAUUUAUAAUAGGGAGAGUGUUAAUCUUUUGCCCAAGAAAAAAAAAGGAGAGUGUUAAUCUAGUCUAAUAUCUAAUCUAGUAAUGUCAGCAAAAUUUGGUUAUACCAAGAUUUCAAACCAUUGUUAGAAAUGAAAAACAAAGUAGCAAACGAUUAGAGAGAGACUUUGAGAGCUUAGUGAGUAUUAAAUUUGUUAGUAGACUUGCAUAUUUAUAGGAAAAGAAGGUCGACUAAAGAUUUUUAGGGUUAAACUUAAAAUCUUUUUAAUAUAUUUGCAAAUCGGGAUUUCAAAUAAAUAAUUAAGGUAUAUGCUCGAUUCGUUAGGAUUUGAAUAUAUAGUUAUUGUUAUAUUUGGUAAAUAUAAUAACUGAAUCCGUAUCGUUGUUUGCGUCAAUACUAUAUUUGCUUGAGUAGUUAAUAUUCGAAUUUAUAGAUUCUGUUAUGUUUGGUAUCUUCUAUUAAAUGAUUUCGUAUUUUUUUUUUUUUAUCCUUAUUCACUUAUCAAAAUAUACGGAAAAAUGAUUUUGUUUGUUAUAGAAAAUUUAUCUUUAUUUACUACUAUUCAGAAGAUUUAUUAUAGAAAUAUCUUUUAGGUGAUUGAAUCUAAUUCGGCUUUGUUAUUAAUUUCAACAUUAAACACCCAUAUUUUCGAGAACAUCUCUUAUGCCUUGACCCGUGAAGUCCAUUACGUAGAAUUAAUUAGAUUACCAAAACAAGUGAAUAGCCCAUUUUUCAUUUUGCAGGAUCCGCAUAUCUUUACUUGGGUCGGUUUUAAUCACGGUUCAGGUCGGCUUUGAUGAUGCAAGGAACCCUUACUUUUUUUUGUUUGAGUUUUUAUUGUAACGUGAUAUUUAAAAGUGGCUUAAAUGGCUUAUGAUUUGUCUGCCCCUCAUUCUCUC